rnacentral:rRNA from 1 species
GACGAACGCUGGCGGCGUGCUUAACACAUGCAAGUCGAACGAAGAGCGAUGGAAGCUUGCUUCUAUCAAUCUUAGUGGCGAACGGGUGGGUAACGCGUAAUCAACCUGCCCUUCAGAGGGGGACAACAGUUGGAAACGACUGCUAAUACCGCAUACGAUCUAACCUCGGCAUCGAGGAUAGAUGAAAGGUGGCCUCUACAUGUAAGCUAUCACUGAAGGAGGGGAUUGCGUCUGAUUAGCUAGUUGGAGGGGUAACGGCCCACCAAGGCGAUGAUCAGUAGCCGGUCUGAGAGGAUGAACGGCCACAUUGGGACUGAGACACGGCCCAGACUCCUACGGGAGGCAGCAGUGGGGAAUCUUCCGCAAUGGACGAAAGUCUGACGGAGCAACGCCGCGUGAGUGAUGACGGCCUUCGGGUUGUAAAGCUCUGUUAAUCGGGACGAAAGGCCUUCUUGCGAAUAGUGAGAAGGAUUGACGGUACCGGAAUAGAAAGCCACGGCUAACUACGUG